rnacentral:rRNA from 1 species
AGAACGAACGCUGGCGGCAGGCUUAACACAUGCAAGUCGAACGCUCCGCAAGGAGAGUGGCAGACGGGUGAGUAACGCGUGGGAAUCUACCUAGUUCUACGGAACAACAGAGGGAAACUUCUGCUAAUACCGUAUACGCCCUACGGGGGAAAGAUUUAUCGGAAUUAGAUGAGCCCGCGUAAGAUUAGCUAGUUGGUGGGGUAAUGGCCUACCAAGGCGACGAUCUUUAGCUGGUCUGAGAGGAUGAUCAGCCACACUGGGACUGAGACACGGCCCAGACUCCUACGGGAGGCAGCAGUGGGGAAUAUUGGACAAUGGGCGCAAGCCUGAUCCAGCCAAGCCGCGUGAGUGAUGAAGGCCUUAGGGUUGUAAAGCUCUUUCAGUGGGGAAGAUAAUGACGUACCACAGAAGAAGCCCGCUAACUCGUGCCAGCAGCCGC